rnacentral:rRNA from 1 species
AUUGAACGCUGGCGGCAUGCCUUACACAUGCAAGUCGAACGGUAACAGGUCUUCGGAUGCUGACGAGUGGCGAACGGGUGAGUAAUACAUCGGAACGUGCCCGAGAGUGGGGGAUAACGAGGCGAAAGCUUUGCUAAUACCGCAUACGAUCUCAGGAUGAAAGCAGGGGACCGCAAGGCCUUGCGCUCACGGAGCGGCCGAUGGCAGAUUAGGUAGGUGGUGGGAUAAAAGCUUACCAAGCCGACGAUCUGUAGCUGGUCUGAGAGGACGACCAGCCACACUGGGACUGAGACACGGCCCAUACUCCUACGGGAGGAAGCAGUGGGGAAUUUGGGACAAUGGGCGCAAGCCUGAUCCAGCCAUGCGCGUGCAGGAGGAAGGCCUUCGGGUUGUAAGCUGCUUUUGUACGGAACGAAAAGACUCUGGUUAAUACCUGGGGUCGAUGACGAUACCGUAAGAAUAAGCACCGGCUAACUACGUGCCAGCCGCCGCAGUAAAAC